CCUACGGGUGGCAGCAGUGAGGAAUAUUGGUCAAUGGGCGAGAGCCUGAACCAGCCAAGUAGCGUGCGGGAUGACUGCCCUAUGGGUUGUAAACCUCUUUUGUAUGGGAAUAAAAUCCUCCACGUGUGGGGUUCUGUGUGUACCCUAUGAAUAAGGAUCGGCUAACUCCGUGCCAGCAGCCGCGGUAAUACGGAGGAGCCGAGCGUUAUCCGGAUUUAUUGGGUUUAAAGGGAGCGUAGGCGGGGUGUUAAGUCAGGUGUGAAAGUUGGGGGCUCAAACGUAACACUGAAGUUGAAACUGGAAGGAUUGAGUACAGUAGAGGAGGGCGGAAUUCGUGGUGUAGCGGUGAAAUGCAUAGAUAUCACGAAGAACCCCGAUUGCGAAGGCAGUUCACUGGAGUGCGACUGACACUGAGGCUCGAAAGUGUGGGUAUCAAACAGGAUUAGAUACCCGAGUAGUC
rnacentral:rRNA from 1 species